rnacentral:rRNA from 2 species
AGCAGCCGCGGUAAUUCCAGCUCCAAUAGCGUAUAUUAAAGUUGUUGCAGUUAAAAAGCUCGUAGUUGAAUUUCGGGGUUUGUCCAUCGGUCGGGCUUUAUUGUUCGUACUGGUGUGAUGAAUUCCUACCUUCUGAAUAACCUUCAUGCCAUUAAUUUGGUGCGUUGGGGAAGCAGAGCUGUUACCUUGAAAAAAUUAGAGUGCUUAAAGCAGGCAAGUGCCUGAAUACAUUAGCAUGGAAUAAUGAAAUAGGACGGCAUGGUUCUAUUUUGUUGGUUUCUAGGAUCACCGUAAUGAUUAAUAGGGAUAGUUGGGGGCAUUAGUAUUCAAUUGUCAGAGGUGAAAUUCUUGGAUUUAUUGAAGACUAACUUCUGCGAAAGCAUUUGCCAAGGAUGUUUUCAUUAAUCAAGAACGAAAGUUAGGGGAUCGAAGACGAUCAGAUACCGUCGUAGUCUUAACCAUAAACUAUGCCGACUAGGGAUCGGACGAUGUUAAUUUUUUAAUGACUCG